rnacentral:lncRNA from 1 species
CGUGCAAUUGCCUGAAAACCUUUGCCAGAGGUCUUGGUAGGGGUGUCAAUGCCAACAACGCAGCUGCACUUCCAAGAAAAUGUAGAGUCAACAUCCCCUACAAGAUCAGCAUCUCCACCAACUGCAACACGUAUGUGAAACUCAUCAUCACCCACUUCAAAUGCUUUCAUUUCCUCACAUUUUCAUUCACUAACUCCUACAGUAAUUUCACUAAUACCUAAAGUGCAAUGCUAUACUUAUACUCACUCUAAUAUAUCUUAGCACAUUUGCAAAGAGAGGAGUAAUGUUUACCAACGGGAUUAGAUCUAGUGAAAGGGGUUAUGAGGAACUAAGAUUUUAGUCCCAAUUAAAAAUAGUAUUUUAGGGUGACCUAAAUAUGAUUGCCACCGAAAGGAUAUACCUGCGCGGAACUAAAUGAAAAUAGAGAAAUGCUACUUUUAGUUUCUUAAAAAUAAUUGGUUUCUUUUUAUCAUCUAUUUAUGAAAAUUUGCAUAUAUGAUACAUGAACUCUAUUUUCAUAAACAGGGGACCAAAGCAGAUUUUUUUUCUAGCUUUUUGAAUGAUAAGGACCAAAAAUAAUAAUACAUUUUCAUAAACGAAAAAGCAGAAAUUGGUAAUUUAUUUUUUGGGAGAUUAAAAUUGAACAUUGUAUUGUUUCAAAGGACUAAAAAGUAUACUUAUCCAAUUUUUAAUUAUUAGUUAAAUUUUAUCAAGAAAAACAUGAAAAAAAAUUAAGUAGGUCUAACCUUUUGUUUAUCGAGUCUCAUUUAUAAUUUUACAUAAUGCAAAAGUAUUUUUUUUUUAAGAAAAAGACAUGUUAUUAACUUUAUUUAAUGAUAUUUAAAUGGUGUUAGAAGUUUAAGAACCAGCUAGUGUCACAAGUUUGCAUAAUUUAUUUUUAGAGUUUAAUAUCUACACAAUAAUAUAAAAUAAAUUUAUAUUAUUAUUCAAUCAUAAAUUAUUAUUUAAAUUAUUUUAAAAAUUAAUAAACUUAUAGUACGAUUAAAUGUUUAUGUAAUUUUUUACAAUGUUAGUAUAUAAUUAUUUUUCUCUUUGUUUUAUGCACUUUUUUUUGUAAGUUUAAUUUACUUGACGAGCAUAGAUGAUUAUUUUAGUAUGAAAAUGUGUAGUUAUUUGAGGUUAUUGGUUAAAUGGUUGUGCAACAUUGCAGGAUCAGGUAAGGAUGGAUGUGGUAUAAGGAAGAAACAACAGGGCAAUUUUUCAGUCACAGGGCACUAUAUAUACGAUAAUAAUAGUGCUGCUGAAUUAACUAAUGAAAAAUAAUGGGAGGGCGAUGAGGGCUCUACUUGUGCGAGUCUCUUCUUGGUCUCGGUGUGUCCCUUAGUUGUUUCAGGCUUUGGUCCAGUAAUUAUGUUAUUAUUGUAAGUACGUGUUGGCUGAAAUUUCUCUCAUUUGGUUGUUGCAUGUAAUAAUGGCAUAUAUAUUGUGCUGUAAUUCCUUGCUACUUGCUACUUUACAUAUGAAAAACAAUUGCACUUGUGUUAAUGGUUUUUCUUACCUUAAUUCCAAAUAAUUUGUCCGCAUAGCGUAUUGGAAUUUGGAAUCCUCAGCUACUCAAUUACUCAAAUAAAAUUCUUCUAGACAUAUUUGAUACAAAUACAUAAAAUAUAAAUAUUUAUAUUACAUAACUAAAAUUAUGAUAAAUAAAUACUUUUGAUUAUAUAAAUUAUAUUAUUAAUAUUAUAAUUAAAAUUGUUAUAAAUAAAUAUCAUUGAAUAUACAAAUUAUAUUUUAGAUUAAUGAUAAACAAUACUACGAUACAAGAAUGUUAUUUUAAUUAUUGAUAUUUAAAUUAAUUUAGAAAAAAUAUGAAAAUUAUAGAUUAAAAGAGAUAAGAAGUUAAAAAAAAAUUUUAGAAGUACUCUCACUGAAGAAAAAUUCCUAAAAGCACUUUCACAGAAAAAUAAUUUCUAAUAGCAUUCUUAUUCAAUAAUACUUGACUUUGAAGUUAAAAAUCCAAUGAAAAUGUUUUAAAACAUUUUUUAAUAGAUAAGUAAAAAGUUAAUUGUUCUCAUGUAAAAGUUCAACAUCAUUAGACGGAGUUAUUUUAGUUUAACCGGUGAUUUUAAGUUUAAGUUUUAAAUAUAUAAUUAUAUUCAAUAUUUUUUUAAAAAAAUUAUCAUUAAUAUUAUUUAUAUUUAACUCAAGUAAGAUUGUCUAUUAUAAAAAACAUGUAUGGUCUCUUGAUCUUGUUGAUUUUUUUCUUAUUUUUUUUAUAUAAAUCAUAGGUAUUUUUUUAAAAAAAAUUACCUAUGAUUUAUGUAUAUAAAAAAUACCUAUGGUUUAUAUAAAAAAAAUCAAUUUUAAUAAAUUGGUAAAUGUACUAAUACGUCCCAAGUAGUAAACUUAAAAUUGAAAUUCAAGUGUCGAAUCCAUAUGGAUUUUUUUAUACUUAGGUAGAUGAAUAUUUUAUUAAUAAAAGAAGUUAAAGAAAAUUGAGUUGAAAAGGUUAUGAGAAAAAUAAUAAUUUAAAUUGGUAUAAAAUUAAGUAAAACAAGAGAAUAAAUUAAAUAAGAAUUUAAUUUAAUUAAUUAAAGAUAAAAAAGAUAAGAAAAUUCAGAAGAUGAGAAUGUUAGAAACUUAACCUACUAGAGCUACUCUUUGAUGUAAUGUUAAUUAUUUUUCCUAUUUAUAAUUAUUUUAAUUUACACAUGGAUUUACUAGUAUACUCUAACUUUGGUCUUCCGCAUGCAAGAGCCUACUUUACACCUGCAUCUACUAGUCAAUUGCAUUAAGAAUAGAAAUGUAUAAUAGACUAAACAAAUAUCAACAUAUUCCUAAUGAUAACUUUAUUUAGAUAAUCUUUCUCAGUUCUAUAAGAAAAUAAUAUUUCUCAAUGUUAUCCCUAAAACUUACCAUGCAAGUGGGUGAUCAAGCCACAAACAAUAAUAUUAACCACAAGAAAGAAUAAUACAAAUAUAAUAUUAUUAAAUAGAUAGGAAGAUAAAUUAUAUAAAGAGUAGUUGAUUGCCAAGUUCCUGACAAAAGGAGUUUAGUUUCUCAUUGUCAUAGCUAUUUUACAAUUGCAAGAGGGAAAUAUUUAGUAUAGGAGAAAAAGAUAAGAAACAAAAUGGAGGGGAGGAAUAACUCAUAUUUCUCCUUCAUCUAGCUCUUGUCUUCUAUAAAUAAUUGUAUUUUCUUGAAAUUUCUAUGUUUUUUAUCUUCUUCUUUUCUCUUCUUUUAUAGGUAUAAAUUAGCUAGCUUUUUGAACUAAGUUCGUCUUUACUUUCUUGAAUUAACUUAUUUUUAUUAAUUAAUCUAUUUUUCUUAAUUAGUCUACUUUCCUUAAUUAACAUAUUUUCCUUAAUUAUUUUUAUAUUCCUGAAUUAUUGAUUUUACUCACUAAGUAUCAUAAGUUUAUUACUUUUAAGAUUUUUUACACAGCAUAAAUGAUAUUAAUUUAAAAAUUAUUUGUUAAAAAAAAUAAGAAAAAAAUAUUAUAAAUUCAUAUAUAAUUUAACCCAAAAAUAUAUUCAUAAUUAACAAUUACCAAUCAAUAUGAUGAAGAGAUCAUACAAUUACUUCAAUAAUGUAUUAAAUUGAAUAAAUAAGUGUUAUAAGUGAAAUUAUAUAUGGACAUAUUUGGUAGGGGAGCUUUUUUUUAUAUAUAUCAGCAAAAUAGCAUUGAAAUAUAUAUAUGAAUACAAGGGGUAUGCAACCCUUUUACAAGUCACAUGUAGUGUAUAGGAAGAGUCCAGAUCCUCUGCAGUAGAUUAAAGGGGUAUUUGAAACAGUAGAAUUUUUAUUUGUCAAUCUUAAUUUUAAAUUAUAUACCUAAUCAUACCAGAUCCAUUCUAUAUACAUGAUUGUUAUUAAAAUACUGCAUCGGUAUAUUUAUGGAUAUUAUAGAAAAUGAAUCUAAUAUCAUUAGUUGUAUAGUUUAAGAUUAGUCAAUAAAAGUUUUAAUGUUUUAAAUAGUGCUCUAAUCUAUCGCAAAGGAUCCGCACUUGUAUAGGGAUGUUCACUCCCACCUGCCCCUCUGGAUGGUUACAAAAUAUAAAGUAUAUAUUGAAGUUAUCAUGCCACCUCUAGAUGGUUUACGGGGCAUUAAAUGUAAAGUUAGUGGUUGAAAAUUAUUUAUGCCAAUUUGGUCAUUAAUAACUUCUAGCCAACCUACUAUAUCGGGUUUGUGAGCCUGAAUGGGGAUAACAUACCCAAUUUUGCUUGUACAUGAUAUGGUACUGCUGGUACCAUAGUUUAAAAAUAAAAAUUAUUAUUUGUCGAUGUAAAAAACGAUAACCACCGUCCAAAAAUGUGUCCCUGUAUAAUUUAUAAGUCUAUAAUUCCAAUAUCUAAACCCAAGGCUGAACAUGCGUGGCUAUCACGAGACACGUUCAAGCAACAAAAACACAUCGGAUUCAACAAAAUCCACCAGCCCCAGAUGACCUUCAUUUGCCCAUAAUAUGAAUUUUGAAUUUCCGGUGUAUCAAACGAUCCAUGCAAAGUCUAUUUCCAUCGUGUUACUUUCAUCCCACCCACGAAAACUUCACAGUGAGGUGAAUGUGUUACAUCAAAUGAUUCUUGUCAAACUCUAACCCUUCAAAGAUACAUUUGUUCCUAAACUUCCAAAUGGCCCAAUGGUUUAUAAGGUAAUGUUUUGAGGGUGUUUAGCCAAAUAAAUCAUUAUUUUCAAAUAGUACAACCUAACUACAAGAAAGACAAAACAAAGUAUGGCUAAUUUUCUUCUUGUUGGCGACAGAAAACACAUCUAGUAUCAAUCUACACAAUGUUUAUUCUAAAUAGAUAAGACUUUAUGUUUCCAUCUUGCCAACUUUUUGUAAUUCCUCACAAUAGGUGUCCAUGUCACCUCCAUCCUUGGAUGCUCUCACUGGUAUACCCGAUAAGUGAAAGGUAAUGACAUUAACCUACAAUUUAAAAUGUUAGCAAAAAAACUCCAUAGCAUUUCUCCCUAGUCCCACUCCUCCAAAAGUGAUUUUAUAGAUGUUAACUUUGAGUCUUGAGAUGAGCUCACAACAUCUAAUUAGCAUACUCUUACCUUAACUUGUGUUUGGAUCAGAAAUUUCAAAAUUUCAUGUAAUUUGAAUUAUGUUGAUUUUAAUUUCUUUCAUUUUAUCAAAUGCUUUCUUUGAAUAAAUUAAUUUAAAUUUCUUCAAUUUUAAAUUCUUUGUUUGAAUAGGGUAAUUUAAUUUUCUCCAUAUGCAAAAUUUCAAUUUUAUAUUUUAAAUAGUUGAAAUUUUAAUAUUAAACUUUAUAGAAAACAAAUACAAUCAAAUUUUGAAAUAUUAAUUAAAAAAUAUUUUUCAAUUUUUAAUAGUAAACAAAAAUCCUUUAAACAAGUUAUCUCUAAUUGCUUCCCUCAUCCUACCAAUUAAUCCCACCGUCAUAAUAGUAAACAAAAAUAGUGAUAGGGAAUCUUUUUGUUUGAGACCUCUUUGAGGAGAAAAAUCCUCUGAGCGAGCCGUUAAUCAAAAUAGAGAUAUAAAGUAGAUAUCAAACAUCCUUUGAUCCAAUAAUCAUGAAUUCACUGCUCCCCAAAGGCAAUCUAUGUAGCAUAAUAGCUGAAAAUUAAAAAUCCUAAUAUACUAAAUCAUAUUUCUUCUCAUAGUCUACAUUAUACAUCAAGAAUUUCUUCAUUCUCCUCUUUGCCUAAUCAAUCAUCUCAUUUGCCACCAUGAUACUGUGCAACAAAUUAAUGUGUGACCUUCUAAGAAAUCACUUUGUCUAGCAUUAAUCGCCUUAGGCAACACCACCUUGAGUCUUCUUGCAAAGACUUUAGCCCGAAUUUUAUACAUGCAACCCACUAAAAAAGUGAGUCUAAAAUUCCUAAGAAUAUGUGGAUCAUCAGUCUUUGGAAUCAAAUUAAGUAAUAAAAGAAGGAUUUUAAAUUGAUAAUUUCAUUUGUAAUCACUUAAAUGAGUGUGGGGUUAUUUGAAGUUAAAAAAAGUAGCAUGGAGACAACACAUGGAAACACAAGGCAGUAAAGUUUUCAUAGGCACCAGGAAGCAUGUAACAGGUUGAAAAGUGUGCAAAACCAUAAGCUAGCCUAUUCACAAUUGACUUGCGAGUCACUAAUUUUGCUAAACUUUGCUAAACAUUGACCAGCUCAUACCAAUUUGAAUAUAUUUGUGAUCAAAUAAGAGGCUCGAACAUGAUAGGUGAUCAUUUUUUAUUCAAACCGAUUGAAUCGAUCAAUCAAAAUGGAGCAUGAUCGAUAACACUUGGUGAAGGGAGUAAGAGGCCUUACGAGUGAAGCGGUGAAAAAGAAUCUUUCUUAGAGUAUCAGGAUGAGAAAGGAUAGUAUAAAUAUUAACCCCUUACAAUAUGUUGACGACACAAUUUAUUUUCUUUGCCCAACCUUGAGUGGGUAAUGUCAUCAUUCUCAAAGUAAAUCAGAUUCUUUUUUUCUAAAAUAAAGAUAUUUUGUUCAUCACACAUAAUUUUACGUUUUUGAUAAAUUGUAGAGAUAUUAAGUUCAUCCAGAAACUAUACAGUAACUUUCUUAGAGGUUUCUAUCUUUUUUAUUUAUAAAAAAAUAAUACAUGUAAAAUAAUUUUUACAUCAUUUUUGCGUCUAUUUCUCUCUAUAUCAUUUAUUAUAUUUUUUUCUUUCCUCUCCGUUGGUUUUUUUUUUUUAAAAAAAAAAACUCUUUCUCUACUUGCUAGUUGUAAAAAUUAUUGUAUAAUUUAGAAUAAAUAGUCAGUUUUAUUCUUAAAUGUGUAAUUCGCUCAUAAAUGCAUCCCGAAAAAUGAAAAUAUAAAACUUAGUCCCUAAAAAUGUAAAAAAAAUUGCAACAAAAUAUAUUCAAUAAUUAACUUUCGUCAGUCACCGUUAAUAAUAUAGUUUACAUGACACACAGGGACAAAUUUGCCACUAAAAUAAUUGUCAAUGUAGUCAUAUCUAAUUAUCAGCAUAUGAGCAUAUUUAUCGUAUAAUAUUUUUUUUGACUUUUUAUCUUCCUAUUUUGCUGAUAAAUGUGUCCUUAAAAGAUAAAAAUACAAAAUUUAGUCCAUAAAAGUGUAUAAAAUAUGACAAAUAUAUCUGGACGUUAAUAGUAGAUUGUGAUUAAUUAUUAUAAUUUGAAAAAAAAGUAAAAUGAUUGUGACAAAAUUUUUGGAGAAUUAUAUCAUAUUGGUAAAUUUUUGUUUCAUUAUAUAAUUUUUAAGCUAUCAACACAUAAGAUAAAAAAAGAUUUUUUUUUACUGUAAAAGGAUAAGAAAAUCAUGGUUUCUAUUUAAUCAAAUACUAUUUAUUUAAUUAUUUUUUAUAAUUUUUUCAUAAUAAAAUAUGAAUAUUUAUUACUAUAUGCAAUCACAUAAAAUUAAAAAUUAUAAUAAAAAUUUGUUGAUUUUUAAAUUAUUUUUUAUAAAUCAUACACAAUUAUUUUUUAUUAACUAAUCAGUUAAAAAAUCAAAACCUUUAAAAAAAUAGUUCCAAAGGCUGUGAGUAUUUUUUUACAAAUUAAAUGUGUCAAUGCAAUUGAAAUUUUUUCCUAAAAAAUAUUCAUGGAUGCAAUUUAAUUAUAAUACUCUACAAUAAGUAUUUUUUAUACUUAAAUCUUUCAUUAAACAUGAAAGUAUAAAAAAAUUAUGAGUUUAUAAAAUGAGUUUUUUCUUCUUUUAGACUCAAUUUAAUUUACGAGUUUUUUUCAUUAAUUUAAAGUUAAUAAAACAAAUACAAAAAUAAUUAUUUAUUAUAUUUUUUCUUAUUUUUUUUUACUUUCACCUCUUUAACCUUAAUUCUAAGAUCUAAACUUCAAUUAAUAAUCAAAUCUAAAUUUUAAAUUCACAUUUUCUUUUAUUUGUUAAUUUGAGAUAAGUUAAGUUAAAAAAAUAUUAAAUUACUAAUUCGAUCCUUUUGUUGUUAACAUUAUAAAUUUUUUUAAAUUAUAAUAAUUAGUCACAAUCUAUUAUUAAUAUCUAGAUAUAUUUGUCACAUUUUUUACAUUUUCAAUGAUUAAAUUUUAUAUUUUCAUAUUUCAUAAACGUAUUUGUCAACGAAUUAUACAAAGUAACUAUUAUCAUAUAAUUUAUUACUAUUAUAUAAUAUAAGUAUAUUUAUCUAAAAAUAUAUAUAAAAACAUUACACAUAUCAAUGAAGAAACUAGUUACUGCAGGACCAAUUAAUAAAAGCAAUGCAAUUCAAUCCUCGAAAUCUGUAUUGGGGGCACCAAAUCAAGCGUCAUAUAUUAAGCCAGGUGCCAAAAGAUUAUACCAUGCAUGCACCACCACCUAGCAUUAAAUUCCUACAAACAAAAAAACAGUACUGCCACAUGCAUUCUAGAUAACCCUUAGUUACGUUCCCACAUCCCUAGGAGUCCUAUCUUAUCUCCUAUAUAACCCCCCACACUUGCACCACUUCACUCACCAAGCAAUAAGCAAGAAUUUCCAUUGCAUGCAAAGCAAAUACUCAUUAUACUACUAGUUUUAAUUUGUUGUCAUUUGCUUCUUUCUUUGAUUAGUGAUGUCUAGCUUUCAGGUUGCAUAUGUGUGGUUGCGAUGAUGUGCAUGGUUGUGCAAAAAAUUCUCUUGACUGACGUCAAUGAAAAAAUAACUCUAACCAACAUCAUCUAAAAAAAAUAUUAGCCGACAUCGAUAAAAAAUAACUUUGGUUAAUAUCACACAAAAAAAUUCUGAAUGAAAAAACAUAGGCCAACGUUAGUGUAAAAUAACUUAUAUCGAUAUCGGUCAUAAAAACUUUGCUCACCCGUUGUUGCAAUUGUUGAAUGAGAAAGAAUCGCGAGCAAGAACGUAAGUUAGAGUGACCAUCUCCGAAAAAAAUUUCAAAUUUUAUAUUUUUUUAGAGAAUUUAAAAUCUCACUGUUUUAAUCAAUUAAAAUGAUUCAUAAAAAUAUUAAAAACUAAAUCUUUUUUCAAAUAUUUUAUUCAAACAAAUUAUUUUAUUAUGAAUUUUUUUAAGUUCCUUAAAAAAAUGAAUUUCACUCCAUCCAAACACUAUUUUGUUAAUGGAAUGACAACUAUGUGUAGCAUCUCCAAAGAACAUUCUCUCGUCAACAUAUAUAGCAGCAAGUCAAUUUCAAUGCCCUUCAUACCCAUAAGGUCCUCUUUAAACAAGUUAUCUCUAAUUGCUUCCCUCAUCAUACCAAUUAAUCCCACCGUCAUAAUAGUAAACAAAAAUAAUGAUAGGGAAUCUUUUUGUUUGAGACCUCUAUGAGGAGAAAAAUCCUUUGAGCGACUGCCGUUAAUCAAAAUAGAGAUAUAAAGUAGAUAUCAAACAUCCUUUGAUCCACUACUCAUGAAUUCACUGCUCCCCAAAAGCAACCUAUGUAGCAUAAUAGCUGAAAUUAAAAACCCUAAGAUACUAAAUCGUAUUUCUUCUCAUAGUCUACAUUAUACAUCAAGAAUUUCUUCAUUCUCCUCUUUGCCUAAUCAGUCAUCUCAUUUGCCACCAUGAUACUGUGCAACAAAUUAAUGUGUGACCUUCUAAGAAAUCACUGUGUCUAGCAUUAAUCACCUUAGGCAACACCACCUUGAGUCUUCUUGCAAAGACUUUAGUCCGAAUAUUUUACAUGCAACCCACUAAAAAAAUUAGUCUAAAAUUCCUAAGAAUUUGUGGAUCAUCAGUCUUUGGGAUCAAAUUAAGUAAUAAAAGAAGGAUUUUAAAUUGAUAAUUUCAUUUGUAAUCACAGAAGUGAGUGUGUGGUUAUUUGAAGUUAAAAAGGUAGCGUGGAGACAACACACAGAAACACCAGACAGUAAGGUUUUCAUAGGCACCGAAAAGCGUGAAAAGUGUGCAAAAUCAUAAGCUAGCCUGUUCACAAUUGACUUGUGCGUCACUAGUUUUGCUAAACACUGACCAGCUCAUACCAAUUUGAAUACAUUUGUGAUCAAAUAAGUGGCUCAAACAUGAUAGGUGACCGAUUUUCAUUCAAACCGAUUGAAUCGGUCGAUGAAAAUGGAGCAUGAUCAAUAACACUUGGCGAAAGGAGUAAGAGGCCUUACGAGUGAAGUGGUGAAAGAGAAUCUUUCUUAGAGCACCAGGAUGAGAAAGGAUGGUAUAAAUGUUAACACGUUACAAUUUGUUUACGACACAAUUUUCUGUUGCCUAACCUUGAGUGGGUAAUGUCAUCCUCCCCAAAGUAAAUCAGAUUCCUUUUUUUUUUUUCUAAAAUAAAGAUAUUUUGUUCACCACACAUAAUUUUACGUUUUUGAUAAAUUGUAGAGAUAUUAUGUUCAUCCAGAAACUAUACAAUAACUUCAUUAUUCUUCUCUUUUGUUAUCAUAUCACUUGUUAUUUUAUAUUUUUUCUUUUUUUGUUUUCUAUUUUUUCUAUCUUUCUUAUUUAUAAAAAAAUAAUACACAUAAAAUAAAAUUUACAUCAUUUUUGCAUCUAUUUCUCUCUAUAUCAUUUAUUAUAUAUUUUUUCUUUCCUCUCCAUUGGUUGUUUUUUUCAAAAACCAAAACUUCUUUCUCUGCUUGCUAGUCUUAAAAAUUAUUGUAUAAUUUAGGAUAAAUAGUCAUUUUUGUCUUUAAAUGUGUAAUUCGCUCACAAAUGUGUCCCUGAAAGAUAAAAAUAUAAAAUUUAGUCCUUGAAAAUGUAAAACAUGCAACAAGUAUAUCCGAUCAUUAACUUCCGUCUGGUACCGUUAAUAAAAUAACUUAUAUGACACAUAGGGACGAAUUGUCACUAACAUGAAUGAUUGUCAAUGUGGUCAUCUCUAUUUGUCAGCAUAGGGACAUAUUUGUCAUAUAAUAUUUUUUUUUUACUUUUUGUCUUCUCAUUUUGCUGACAAAUGUGUCCCUAAGAGAUAAAAAUACAAAAUUUAGUUCCCGAAAGUGAAAAAAAGAUGACAAAUAUAUCCGGACGUUAAUAGUAGAUUGUGAUUAAUUAUUAUAAUUUAAAAAAAUUUAUAAUGAUUGCAACAAAAUUCUGGGAGAGCUAAAUCAUAUUGGUAAGUUUUUGUUUCCAUUAUAAAAAUUUUAAGCGAAGUAAAAAAAAUUACUAUAAAACAAUAAAAAAAUCAUGAUUUUUGUUUAAUCAAACACUAUUUAUUUAAUUAUUUUUUUAUAGAUUUUUCAUAAUAAAAUAUGAAUCUCUAUUAGUAUAUGCAAUCACAUCAAAUUAUAAAUUAUAAUAAAAGUUUUUUUAUUAACUAAUCAUUUAAAAAAUCAUAACUUUAAAAAAAUAAUUCCAAAGGAGGUGAGUAUUUUUGUACAAAUUAAAAGUGUCAAUGUAAUUGCAAUGUUUCCUAAUUCGAUCUUUUUAUCGUCAUCAGUAUAAAAAAUUUUAAAUUAUAAUAAUUAUUCACAAUCUAUUAUUAAUAUCUAGAUAUAUUUAUCAGAUUUUUUUCACUUUUAAUGAAUAAAUUUUGUAUAUUAAUAUUUUAAGAAUGUAUUUAUCAAUGACUUUUACAAGUAACUAUUUAUUACUAUUAUAUAAGUAUAUUUAUCUAAAAAAAUGUAUAAAAACAUUACAUAUCAAUGAAGAAACUAGUUAUUGCAGGACCAAUUAAUAAAAGAAAUACAAUUCAAUCCUCGAAAUCUGUCAAGGUAUGGAGGGAUAAGCUAUAAUAUUAAAUAUAUCAUCCUAUUCAGUCGUAUUUGGGGCACCACCAAAUCAAGCGUCACAUAUUAAGCCAGGUGCCAAAAGAUUAUACUAUGCAUGCACCACCACCUAGCAUUAAAUUGAGCACAACUGCCACCAAACAAAAAACAGUACUGCCACAUGCAUUUUCCAUAACCCUUAGUUACCUUCCCACAGCCCUAGGAGUCCUAUCUUAUCUUCUAUAUAACUCCCCACACUUGCACCACUUCACUCACCAAACAAUAAGCAAGAAUUUCCAUUGCAUGCAAAGCAAAUACGCAUUAUAUUACUAGUUUUAAUUUGUUUUGUCGUUUGCUUCUUUCUUUGAUUAAUGAUGACUAGCUUUAAGGUUGCAUGUGUGGUUGCGAUGAUGUGCAUGGUUGUGGCCAUGAGUGUUACACCCAUGGCACAGGCCGCAAUCACGUGCGGGCAGGUCGCCGGCGACGUGUCUCCGUGCCUCAGUUAUCUUCGAAGCGGCGGAAAACCAUCGGACGCCUGCUGCAACGGAGUGAAGUCACUCAGCGGUGCGGCAAAGACCACCGCCGACCGCCAGGCAGCGUGCAAUUGCCUGAAAAACCUUGCCAAUAAUAUGGGACAGAGUUUGAAUGCCGGCAACGCAGCCUCUCUCCCUGGCAAAUGUGGCGUCAACAUCCCUUACAAGAUCAGCACCUCCACCAACUGCGCCACGUAUGUUAAACUCACCACUCACUUCAUAGUUCACAUGGUUUAAUUUCCUCACAUUUUCAUUGAGCACCUCAUAGUGAUCCUUUGCUUAUUAGGUGGUUGAGUACCAUCACACCAUCCAUAUUCCAGACUAAUAAUUAUGUGACACGCCAUAACAUUAUCAUAAAAAAUAAUAAUUUCUCACACCUUUCCUCUCUCUGUACAUAGAGAUAUUCUAUUUUUGAACAACAGUAUUUAUAAAAUUCUUUUAUAAUGUUGUUUUAAAGAGGUUUUCUUUAAUGAAUGAAAGUGUUUUCAGGUGUUUAUUUUAACCUUUUAUUUCAUUAAAUCUUUUUUACCUUUAUCUUUAUCUUUAUUUUGAAACAUUUAUUUUAUGUUUUUUUCUAUAGAAAUCACCUUAUGUAUUGUACAUACUUUAAUAUUAGUUUCGCUAAAAUACCUAAAGAGUAAGGAGCAAUAAUACGUACACAUGCUCUAAUACAUCUGAAAACAUUAAUUUUAUUUGACGGUUAAAUUUUAUUAAAAUUUAAAAGUUACAUAGUUUUAAUUAGUUAUUUAUAGAGACUUAUUCAUAAUUUAUAUAAUAAAUUAUUUAAAGAAAAAAAAUAGGUUAAAAAUGUUUUACUGCUUUUAUCUUACUUAAAAGAGUUCUAACAAUGGUAAACUAAAAAAUAGAGUGGAUGUAGGUGAAAGGAAGAAAGAGAAGGAUAAUAAAGAAAAUAAUGAUUAUAAAAUGACUGUGAUGACUGGUAAUUGAUUUGAUGGAAAUAAAAGACAUAAGAAAAAUAUCUAUAUGUUAUAAUUAAUUAUUCUUCUUAAAAUGUUGUUCAAAGUUUUAGAACUAGUCUCACAUGUUUGAUAAUUAUUUUGUUUUUGGUGGUGGUGUUGGGAGCGGGGAGAUGUUUAUCAAUUAUUUAUAUUCGUUCUUGUUAAUUUGUACCGUAACUUUAUUUUACUUGACGAGCAUAG